rnacentral:rRNA from 1 species
UGGCAGUCCGAGCGGUAGAGAGAAGCUUGCUUCUCUUGAGAGCGGCGGACGGGUGAGUAAUGCCUAGGAAUCUGCCUGGUAGUGGGGGAUAACGUUCGGAAACGGACGCUAAUACCGCAUACGUCCUACGGGAGAAAGCAGGGGACCUUCGGGCCUUGCGCUAUCAGAUGAGCCUAGGUCGGAUUAGCUAGUUGGUGAGGUAAUGGCUCACCAAGGCGACGAUCCGUAACUGGUCUGAGAGGAUGAUCAGUCACACUGGAACUGAGACACGGUCCAGACUCCUACGGGAGGCAGCAGUGGGGAAUAUUGGACAAUGGGCGAAAGCCUGAUCCAGCCAUGCCGCGUGUGUGAAGAAGGUCUUCGGAUUGUAAAGCACUUUAAGUUGGGAGGAAGGGCAGUUACCUAAUACGUGAUUGUUUUGACGUUACCGACAGAAUAAGCACCGGCUAACUCUGUGCCAGCAGCCGCGGUAAUACAGAGGGUGCAAGCGUUAAUCGGAAUUACUGGGCGUAAAGCGCGCGUAGGUGGUUAGUUAAGUUGGAUGUGAAAUCCCCGGGCUCAACCUGGGAACUGCAUUCAAAACUGACUGACUAGAGUAUGGUAGAGGGUGGUGGAAUUUCCUGUGUAGCGGUGAAAUGCGUACAUAUAGGAAGGAACACCAGUGGCGAAGGCGACCACCUGGACUGAUACUGACACUGAGGUGCGACCAAGCGUGGGGAGCAAACAGGAUGUGA